GACGAACGCUGGCGGCGUGCUUAACACAUGCAAGUCGAACGAAGUGGCGAACGGGUGAGUAACGCGUAAUCAACCUGCCCUUCAGAGGGGGACAACAGUUGGAAACGACUGCUAAUACCGCAUACUGAAGGGGGGGAUUGCGUCUGAUUAGCUAGUUGGAGGGGUAACGGCCCACCAAGGCGAUGAUCCGUAGCCGGGCUGGGGAGAUGGACGGCCAACAUGGGACUGAGAAAACGCCCAGACUCCUACGGGGGGCAGCAGUGGGGAAUCUUCCGCAAUGGACGAAAGUCUUACGGAGCAACGCCGCGUGAGUGAUGACGGCCUUCGGGUUGUAAAGCUCUGUUAAUCGGGACGCGGUACCGGAAUAGAAAGCCACGGCUAACUACGUGCCAGCAGCCGCGGUAAUAC
rnacentral:rRNA from 1 species